CGUCAGGCCUAUUAUCCAGCAGCUACGAAAGAUCUCAGCGUAAUCCCUCUUAUCGUGAUGACGCGAGAUGUAAAAUUCAGUAGGGAGCCAUCUCUACGUUCUCAUAAUCUCCCUUACUCGUUAUUUUAGCGCAGAAGAGGCACAAUAAGCAUGCAGCAUUCGUCGAAAUAGCAAACAGAGACCAUGGCAGUAAACCAGUCAACCAACGACAUCAGUUCCCUGCAAACCUUCAUGAGAUCCACAAAAGCUGCUUUUUAUUGGGCUAUUAGGUUGGUCGUGGGCGACAGGUAUUCCUGAAAAUUCCACUGCGAUAAAGUCAUUUCCAGAAGGAUAUUAAUUAAACACGGUUGAGUUAGAAUGCAGUACGCGAGUCACCAAUGACAUAUUGCACGAAAAAAAUAGUUGGUCACCAGUUCUAGAUCAUUCGGUUCUUUAAACUCGCAACAGAUAUGAAAGAAAUACUUUUAUAUAUUUUUUUAAAACAACAGAUAGUCCAAUGUUUCAUAUAGUCCAAAAAUACAAUGUACUUUUAUUAUAUGUGUGUACAGAAAAAUAAGUAAACUACAGAUUAAUAAAACAUAAUUCUAACAGAUAAAAUACCUUGAA